UAAGGAAUAUUGGUCAAUGGACGCAAGUCUGAACCAGCCAUGCCGCGUGCAGGAUGACGGCCCUACGGGUUGUAAACUGCUUUUGUACGGGAAAAAACCCCUGGUCGUGAACCAGGGCUGAUGGUACCGUAAGAAUAAGCACCGGCUAACUCCGUGCCAGCAGCCGCGGUAAUACGGAGGGUGCAAGCGUUAUCCGGAUUUAUUGGGUUUAAAGGGUGCGUAGGCGGCAUUUUAAGUCAGUGGUGAAAUCCUGCAGCUCAACUGUAGAACAGCCAUUGAAACUGAAGUACUUGAGUAAUCUUGAGGUAGGCGGAAUGUGUAGUGUAGCGGUGAAAUGCUUAGAUAUGACACAGAACACCGAUCGCGAAGGCAGCUCACUAAGUUGUAACUGACGCUCAGGCACGAAAGCGUGGGGAUCAAACAGG
rnacentral:rRNA from 1 species